AGGUGGGGAUGANGUCAAAUCAUCAUGNNNNUUAUGUCUUGGGCUUCACGCAUGCUACAAUGGNCGGUACAAUGGGCUGCGAUACCGUAAGGUGGAGCGAAUCCCAAAAAGNNGGUCCCAGUUCGGAUUGAGGUCUGCAACUCGACCUCAUGAAGUCGGAGUCGCUAGUAAUCGCAGAUCAGCAACGCUGCGGUGAAUACGUUCCCGGGUCUUGUACACACCGCCCGUCAAGUCAUGAAAGUCGGUAACACCUGAAGCCGGUGGCCUAACCUUGUGGAGGGAGUCGUCGAAGGUGGGACUGGCGAUUGGGACU
rnacentral:rRNA from 1 species